AUUGAACGCUGGCGGCAGGCCUAACACAUGCAAGUCGAGCGGAUGAAGGGAGCUUGCUCCUGGAUGCAGCGGCGGACGGGUGAGUAAUGCCUAGGAAUCUGCCUGGUAGUGGGGGAUAACGUCCGGAAACGGGCGCUAAUACCGCAUACGUCCUGAGGGAGAAAGUGGGGGAUCUUCGGACCUCACGCUAUCAGAUGAGCCUAGGUCGGAUUAGCUAGUUGGUGGGGUAAAGGCCUACCAAGGCGACGAUCCGUAACUGGUCUGAGAGGAUGAUCAGUCACACUGGAAGUGAGAAACGGUACAGACUCCGACGGGAGGACGCAGUGGGGAAUAUUGGACGAUGGGCGAAAGCCUGAUACAGCAAAGCCGCGUGUGUGAAGAAGGUCUUCGGAUGGUAAAGCACUUUAAGUUGGGAGGAAGGGAAGUAAGUUAAUACCUUGCUGUUUUGACGUUACCGACAGAAUAAGCACCGGCUAACUUCGUG
rnacentral:rRNA from 1 species